UUUCUUCGGAAUGACGAGGUUUGUGACUGAGUGGCGGACGGGUGAGUAACGCGUGGAUAACCUGCCCCGUACAGGGGGAUAACAGUUAGAAAUGACUGCUAAUACCGCAUAAGCGCACAGUAUCGCAUGAUACGGUGUGAAAAACUCCGGUGGUAUGGGAUGGAUCCGCGUCUGAUUAGCCAGUUGGCGGGGUAGAGGCCCACCAAAGCGACGAUCAGUAGCCGACCUGAGAGGGUGACCGGCCACAUUGGGACUGAGACACGGCCCAAACUCC
rnacentral:rRNA from 1 species